UUUAUCUACUGCUUCCUCAUAAAAUAUAUUUUUUCCAGAUUUUAGAUACAUCAAACAAAAAUCAAAAUCCAAUUUUUUUUUUUUUUUUAAAAAUAUUAUUUUAUUCAAUAGUAGUUUAAGAGUAGUAAAUUAAUUAGUUGUUAGUUAUCAUUUCUCUUUGUAAUUACAGAAAAAGACAAGUGCCCGUCGCCGUAAACAACGUCGUCCCCGGUUUGUCCUCGUCGGCAGCUCGUUCUCGUCGUGCUCCUCCUUGGCACUGCUCACACCGAAGCCCCUUCUCACAUUUCUGAAUGUGGGCUUUUAGACCCAACACAAGGUCAAGUCUUGAACAUGGUGGGCCGUAGUUCGUCCUAAUGGCUUGCAUAGCCACCCCAAACAUCUCUACAAAGGCGUUUUGUCUCAGGAGCAACCCCAAGAACAAACAUGCUGCACCAAUCAAGCUUCUGGUCCUGGUUAUAGUCAUAUAGUUUCUGCAUUCAGCUUUAUUUUAAGUACUUUUUUGAAGUGUAACUAAAUCGUUAGUCUUAAAGACUGUAAUCUUGGAAAAUUUCUGCAUGCCAUUUUGAGAUGGCUUCGUGCUCCUUUUUUUACAUGGCGAAUCAACUCUUUGCUUUAAGAUGCCAA